AUUGAACGCUGGCGGCAGGCCUAACACAUGCAAGUCGAGCGGAUGACGGGAGCUUGCUCCUUGAUUCAGCGGCGGACGGGUGAGUAAUGCCUAGGAAUCUGCCUGGUAGUGGGGGACAACGUUUCGAAAGGAACGCUAAUACCGCAUACGUCCUACGGGAGAAAGCAGGGGACCUUCGGGCCUUGCGCUAUCAGAUGAGCCUAGGUCGGAUUAGCUAGUAGGUGAGGUAAAGGCUCACCUAGGCGACGAUCCGUAACUGGUCUGAGAGGAUGAUCAGUCACACUGGAACUGAGACACGGUCCAGACACCUACGGGAGGCAGCAGUGGGGAAUAUUGGACAAUGGGCGAAAGCCUGUUCCAGCCAUGCCGCGUGUGUGAAGAAGGUCUUCGGAUUGUAAAGCACUUUAAGUUGGGAGGAAGGGCAGUAAGUUAAUACCUUGCUGUUUUGACGUUACCGACAGAAUAAGCACCGGCUAACUUCGUGCCAGCCGCCGCUGUAACAC
rnacentral:rRNA from 1 species